GGCCUUUGGAGUACCCUGCCGGUCGUCGUUGGGGUUGGAAGAAGAAGCUGACAGUGCAUCCACCGCCCGAUACCAUGUGGGAUCUCAUUCGGGACGGGAACCCUGAGCAUGUGGUUUGGACCCCAUGGCUCUCUUUUAGGGGUACUUAUGCUUCGGUCAGGGAUAGUUAUGCCCUGAGCCAGAUGCGGGUCUUGUUCGUUGGCCGCCAGGACCCUGUCUGGUACCUGGGAGAGCGGGUACGUAUGCAGACGGUCGGGGCUUUUUCGGUGCCUAGGCCUCCGCCUGCGACCAUGCUGUCGUGCAGGCGACGGAGUUGGUGAUAGAGGGAGCUAGCUAUUAUCAGUUUAUCCAGGAUUCUCUUCGUCUCCCGGAGCCUGGCGCUGAGUGUCCUGACCCUUCGUUGGGGGGAUGGGUGCUUCCCGAUGCUCGGAUCUCGUAUACCGGAGAGAGUGGAUCUGAGAUUGUGGAGACUUUCCCGGAAGACCGGGUUUUCCAU